rnacentral:rRNA from 1 species
GAUCAUGGCUCAGGAUGAACGCUAGCUACAGGCUUAACACAUGCAAGUCGAGGGGAAACGGCAUUUAGUGCUUGCACUGAAUGGACGUCGACCGGCGCACGGGUGAGUAACGCGUAUCCAACCUUCCCAUUACUGUGGGAUAACCUGCCGAAAGGCAGACUAAUACCUCAUAGUCUUCGAUGACGGCAUCAGAUUUGAAGUAAAGAUUUAUCGGUAAUGGAUGGGGAUGCGU